CGCAUCUGUGCAUGCAGCAUAUCAAUAAGCGGAGGAAAAGAAACUAACAAGGAUUCCCCUAGUAACGGCGAGUGAAGCGGGAAGAGCUCAAAUUUGAAAUCUUAAAGGGUUUCCCUUUACGAACUGUAGUUUAAAGAAGUGUUUUCUGUUGAGGUUUUGGUAAAAGUUCUUUGGAAUAGGACAUCAUAGAGGGUGAGAAUCCCGUAUUUGACCUUUACUUUCAACUUUGUGAUACACUUUCAAAGAGUCGGAUUGUUUGGGAAUGCAGUCCAAAAUGGGUGGUAAAUUUCAUCUAAAGCUAAAUAUUGGCGAGAGACCGAUAGCGAACAAGUACCGUGAGGGAAAGAUGAAAAGAACUUUGAAAAGAGAGUUAAACAGUACGUGAAAUUGUCAAAAGGGAAGCGUUUGACACCAGUGUUGUUUUUCUGAAAAUCAAUUAAAGAACUGUUUAUGCUAAGUUGUUUAGACUUUAUCAGCUAACUGUUUAGUUUUGAGCUUUUCUUUAAUGCACUUUUCAGUUAACAAGUCAACAUCAAUUUCUUUUGCUGUAAAAAAGCUUGAGGAAGGUGGCUUGAGCUUUUCGGAUAAGUGUUUAUAGCCUCUUGCCUCUGCAGGUCGGAGAGAUUGAGGUCUGCAGCGUAGAUCCUUCGGGGUUAAAUAGCAUUCGUGCUAAGUUAUAGCCUUUUAUAGACAACUUGUUGACUAUGAUCUGUCUUGUAGAUUUACUCGCUAGUGCUAUUUUACCUACGCUUAGGAUAUUGAUAUGCAUGACUGAUAU
rnacentral:rRNA from 1 species